CAGGCCUAACACAUGCAAGUCGAACGGUGAAGCAGAGCUUGCUCUGUGGAUCAGUGGCGAACGGGUGAGUAACACGUGAGCAACCUGCCCCGGACUCUGGGAUAAGCGCUGGAAACGGCGUCUAAUACUGGAUACGAGCUGCGACCGCAUGGUCAGCAGUUGGAAAGAUUUUUCGGUCUGGGAUGGGCUCACGGCCUAUCAGCUUGUUGGUGGGGUGAUGGCCUACCAAGGCGACGACGGGUAGCCGGCCUGAGAGGGUGACCGGCCACACUGGGACUGAGACACGGCCCAGACUCCUACGGGAGGCAGCAGUGGGGAAUAUUGCACAAUGGGCGAAAGCCUGAUGCAGCAACGCCGCGUGAGGGAUGACGGCCUUCGGGUUGUAAACCUCUUUUAGCAGGGAAGAUAAUGACUGUACCGGAAGAAUAAGCCCCGGCUAACUUCGUGCCAGCAGCCGCGGUAAU
rnacentral:rRNA from 1 species